GCUCUGUGGCUCGGCUGCAGUUCCAUCCCUUCAGUUGGCUCCCUGGCCUGGUUGGGAGCACACGGACGGACGCUUCUGCUCCGCUGCCAGACACUCGACUCCUUUGCCUGCCGUCACUCGUAGUCGCAUCUCACUGGCUCUUACACACGCACGCACUAACGCGCUCCAAGCAGCCCCUGAACACUCUGGAGGUGUAGGUGGUGUACAUAGGUGUCCUGUGGAGUCGUACGCGGACCGCCCUCGCGUAGUGGACAUCCGAAUGAACACGAAAUAAACUUGUCAGAGGGAAGAUAUGUCAGUGCUGUAUCAGUGAAUCUUCGCCGCCCUCCCGACACGCCACACGCAGCAACAUGUGGCCCUGGCCGGUAAUGGCGCCCCACGCAGAGCCCCGCGGGAGGCACACACGACCCUCCCGCCGAUCAGCUGAGGAAGGAGGCCACGAGAUAAGUUGCAGGAGACGGGCUGUGGGGGGCCUGGAGGGAUGCCUGCUGCUGUGGGCCUUCGCCGCCAGCCUCUCCCUCGGGUGAGUGUAAAAUUGAUGUACUACCUUGUCUCUUGUCCCUGGACGAGUGUACUUGUGUCUCCUAACCAGCGUGAACCUGAACGUCACCAUCUUCCCUCCCUAAGUCCCACAAGUGGUGCUGCUAUUUCGCCUCACACUGUGGCACUGCAGGGGAUGCAAGACAUACCAUGGCACUCACCCCUCGCCUCUCCUGGUCGCCUCACCCAGCCCUCCCCGCCAGGACGAGGCUCACCUUAUCCAAUCAUGCAUGAGGCAAUUAGGCUGCCACGGUUUGCUUGGUUAGAAAGGAUUUACGAGGUUGGCUGAGGAGGCUGCGGUGGAGGGGAGAGGCGUGGGGGGUGGGAGGGGAUGGCGUUGGCGUGGUGAUGUACUGGCGUGGGAGAAAAUGUCUUGCAUGUUUCAUAGGUCCAUUCAUCGCGGAGUCCGACUCUCUAGUAUUACUUCAGCGAUUCGAGAUAUGAAGGUUGCAGUGGCGGUACUGUGGAGAAAACGCAUAGAGGGAAGAGCAAUCUGGCCAUGUUUCAAAACAAUUGGCAGUGAGGAGGAGGAGGAGGAGGACUUAAUCUUGUGGAUAUCCGAGAAACACAGACCAAUGCACCAUUUUCCUCGCAUUUACCACACAAUUUCCACUGCUCGAAAACUUAUUACAAUUUCUUACAA